rnacentral:rRNA from 1 species
GUCUACGGUCACACUAGGUUGAACGCACCGCAUACCGUCAGAUCUGCGAAGUUAAGUGACGUUAUGCAGAGUAAACACCGUUGUUGGAGACAACAUGGAAACCCCCGGUGUCAUAGACA